rnacentral:pre_miRNA from 1 species
UUCCUAUGCAUAUACUUCUUUGAGGGUCUGGUCCAAAGAGGUAUAGCGCAUAGGACAA